UACGUAGGUGGCAAGCGUUGUUCGGAAUUACUGGGCGUAAAGCGCGCGUAGGCGGCUCUUCAAGUCAGGCGUGAAAGCCCCGAGCUUAACUCGGGAACUGCGCUUGAUACUGUCGAGCUAGAGUGUGGAAGGGGCGAUUGGAAUUCCGUGUGUAGCGGUGAAAUGCGUAGAUAUACGGAGGAACACCAGAGGCGAAGGCGGGUCUCUGGGCAGUAACUGACGCUGAGGAGCGAAAGCGUGGGGAGCGAACAGG
rnacentral:rRNA from 1 species